GACGAACGCUGGCGGCGUGCUUAACACAUGCAAGUCGAACGGCAAGGCCCUGCUUUUGUGGGGUUCUCGAGUGGCGAACGGGGGAGUAACACGUGAGUAACCUGCCCUUGACUUUGGGAUAACUUCAGGAAACGGGGGCUACUCCCGGAUAGCAUCUCCUGCUGCAUGGUGGGGGUUGGAUAGUUUCGGCGGGUGGGGAUGGACUCGCGGCUUAUCAGCUUGCUGGUGGGGUAGUGGCUUACCAAGGCUUUGACGGGUAGCCGGCCUGAGAGGGUGACCGGCCACAUUGGGACUGAGAUACGGCCCAGACUCCUACGGGAGGCAGCAGUGGGGAAUAUUGCACAAUGGGCGGAAGCCUGAUGCAGCAACGCCGCGUGCGGGAUGACGGCCUUCGGGUUGUAAACCGCUUUCGCCUGUGACGAAGCGUGAGUGACGGUAAUGGGUAAAGAAGCACCGGCUAACUACGUG
rnacentral:rRNA from 1 species